rnacentral:rRNA from 1 species
UACAGAGGGUGCGAGCGUUAAUCGGAAUUACUGGGCGUAAAGCGCACGUAGGUGGCUUUGCAAGUCGAUUGUGAAAUCCCCGGGCUUAACCUGGGAACUGCAGUCGAGACUGCUUUGCUUGAGUAUGGGAGAGGGAGGUGGAAUUUCCGGUGUAGCGGUGAAAUGCGUAGAUAUCGGAAGGAACGCCCGUGGCGAAAGCGGGCUCCUGGACGCCUACUGACGCUG